rnacentral:rRNA from 1 species
CUGCUGCCUUCCGUAGGAGUCUGGGCCGUGUCUCAGUCCCAGUGUGGCCGUCCACCCUCUCAGGCCGGCUGCUGAUCGUCGCUUUGGUGGGGCCGUUACCCCGCCAACUGGCUAAUCAGACGCGGGCCCAUCCUGUACCACCGGAGUUUUCAAAGGAUUACCAUGCGGUAUUCCCUAUUAUGCGGUAUUAGCACCUAUUUCUAAGUGUUAUCCCCCGGUACAGGGCAGGUUGCCCACGCGUUACUCACCCGUCCGCCACUAAGACAG